GGGUGGGCUAGGUGUGGGGGCUACCCCUCCCCUUUCCCGCAAAUGGGGUUACGGCGGACCGAAGCCCAGAGGAGGUGCCGGAUGCCCGCGGAGGGGGACGGAUUCUCCCGUGGAGGUUCCGCCCCACAGGGUCGGCGGUGGCGGGGCCCAAGCCGGAGGGUUUGGGUAAACCGUCUUUGCUCGCCGAACCCGGCCAGGCCCGGAAGGGAGCAACCGUAGGCGGGACGCCCGGCGCUUGUGGGUUCACGGAGCUGAGGGGUGGCCGUUUCCCGAGGCGGGUUGAAGGCAUUCGAAUCUGGGAGCCCACCC
rnacentral:SRP_RNA from 1 species